rnacentral:rRNA from 1 species
ACCUUACCUCUUGCCGCGUUGUCUCGGCGGGAGGCGGUGGGCGUCUCGCGCCCCUAGCGGGCCGUGCCGCUCCCGUCCCCGCCGGCGGCGCCAAACUCUAAAUUUACAGCGGACUGUACGUUCUGAUUUACAAAAAAAAACAAGUUAAAACUUUCAACAACGGAUCUCUUGGUUCUGGCAUCGAUGAAGAACGCAGCGAAAUGCGAUAAGUAAUGUGAAUUGCAGAAUUCAGUGAACCAUCGAAUCUUUGAACGCACAUUGCGCCCGGCAGUAAUCUGCCGGGCAUGCCUGUCCGAGCGUCAUUUCUACCCUCGAGCGAGUCCAGCAUCUAGGUGCUGUGCCCGCCCGGCGUUGGAGCACUACGGGAAGCCCUGUGCUGUCCCCCGUAGGCCCCGAAAUGAAGUGGCGGUCCUGCCGCGGCGCCCCCUGCGUAGUAUAACAGCUCGCUUCGGGACCCGGUGGAGGCCUGCCGUCAAACCUAUACUCU